rnacentral:rRNA from 1 species
UACGUAGGGCGCAAGCGUUGUCCGGAAUUAUUGGGCGUAAAGAGCUCGUAGGCGGCUUGUCACGUCGGGUGUGAAAGCCCGGGGCUUAACCCCGGGUCUGCAUUCGAUACGGGCUAGCUAGAGUGUGGUAGGGGAGAUCGGAAUUCCUGGUGUAGCGGUGAAAUGCGCAGAUAUCAGGAGGAACACCGGUGGCGAAGGCGGAUAUCUGGGCCAUUACUGACGCUGAGGAGCGAAAGCGUGGGGAGCGAACAGG